rnacentral:rRNA from 1 species
AUUGAACGCUGGCGGCAUGCCUUACACAUGCAAGUCGAACGGCAGCACGGGAGCAAUCCUGGUGGCGAGUGGCGAACGGGUGAGUAAUAUAUCGGAACGUGCCCGGUCGUGGGGAUAACGUAGCGAAAGCUACGCUAAUACCGCAUACGAUCUACGGAUGAAAGCGGGGGAUCGCAAGACCUCGCGCGAUUGGAGCGGCCGAUAUCAGAUUAGGUAGUUGGUGAGGUAAAGGCUCACCAAGCCGACGAUCUGUAGCUGGUCUGAGAGGACGACCAGCCACACUGGGACUGAGACACGGCCCAGACUCCUACGGGAGGCAGCAGUGGGGAAUUUUGGACAAUGGGCGCAAGCCUGAUCCAGCAAUGCCGCGUGCAGGAUGAAGGCCUUCGGUUGUAACUAGCUUUGUUACGGACGAAACGGUA